rnacentral:rRNA from 1 species
UACAGAGGGUGCGAGCGUUAAUCGGAAUUACUGGGCGUAAAGCGCGCGUAGGCGGCUUUGCAAGUCGGGUGUGAAAUCCCCAGGCUUAACCUGGGAACUGCAUUCGAGACUGCAUUGCUAGAGUAUGGGAGAGGGAAGUGGAAUUUCCGGUGUAGCGGUGAAAUGCGUAGAUAUCUGGAGGAAUACCGGUGGCGAAGGCGGCAUCCUGGACCGACAUUGACGCUGAUGAGCGAAAGCCAGGGGGAGCAAAACGGGG